rnacentral:rRNA from 1 species
AGCGAACGCUGGCGGCAGGCCUAACACAUGCAAGUCGAACGGACCCUUCGGGGUUAGUGGCGGACGGGUGAGUAACACGUGGGAACGUGCCUUUUGGUUCGGAACAACUCAGGAAAACUUGAGCUAAUUCCGAAUGUGCCCUUCGGGGGAAAGAUUUAUCGCCAUUAGAGCGGCCCGCGUCUGAUUAGCUUGUUGGUGAGGUAAUGGCUCACCAAGGCGACGAUCAGUAGCUGGUCUGAGAGGAUGAUCAGCCACAUUGGGACUGAGACACGGCCCAAACUCCUACGGGAGGCAGCAGUGGGGAAUCUUGCGCAAUGGGCGAAAGCCUGACGCAGCCAUGCCGCGUGAAUGAUGAAGGUCUUAGGAUUGUAAAAUUCUUUCACCGGGGACGAUAAUGACGGUACCCGGAGAAGAAGCCCCGGCUAACUUCGUGCCAGCCGCCGCAGUAACAC